AGUGAAGAAAAACCAUUUGCAUGGCCCUCAGUCAAAGGCAAGAUUUGAAGAUCAAACAUUCCAAAGAGCAUGACAGGUAGCAGCGAUGCCACAAGUGAGGUUUGUUGCAAUUGUUGAUUCAGUGUAGCUUAUGCUGAGUGUUCCAAGUUCUACAUGUGCUGGAUUUAGAAUAUUAUGCUGUAUCUCUCCGUUCUUGCCAAUCAUAAUGAUUCAAGAGCACUGCAUUUGUCUUGGUGUUUUGAUUUGUUUUCCUUUUGCAACGACAGGAAGCUCUCAUUUUAUUUAUAUCCACUUAUGCUGAAUUGUAUUGUCAUGAAGCUCACAUUGUAUUUGUACCCACUUGUGCCGAAUUAUAUUGUCACUUCACUUGAGUCCAGAACCAUCAAGUUUCUGUGUUGGCUCCUGCAAUUGACUGAUGAUUAACUUGUUUUCCCAUUUUUUUAUGUUGUAAGGUUUCUUGCUGGUUAAUCUGCCUGAUUUUAACUGUCCAUUGCGUCUCUUAUAUUUAUAACAGCUUUCAGUGUCGUUUUACUCUAGACUGGAAUAAAAUUUUAGGUCAUUCAGUUUGUGCAAUGUUCUGAGAUUUCACCUUUUAGGUCAUUAAUUUUGUUUAUGGCCCUCUAUGUGUCACAUUUGUUUGAAUUUGACUGCACAAAUGUCGCACUGCUGCUAGCCUGAAUCGGUGCCUAUGAUUUUUUGAUGUAAAUGAUUUGGAUGAGCAAGCAAUACGGUGGCCUUUUAUAGUUUACAGUUACAACGUCUUAACUGUUACUCUUUUGGCUUUCUGACUGCAGCAGGAAUGGCACAAUUGAGGGCAUUGUCCAUUUAAUGCCUGUUUCUGUUGAGCGUUCAACGGUUCAAGUUCUCCUUUUCUUGGAUUUAGUUAGGAUAUAUGCUUCCAUUCUUGUCAACUGAGACGGCCUGAGAACACUGCAUUUGCCUUAGUGUUUUGAUUUGUCUUUCUUCUGCAACACAGACAUGAGAGUUCUCGUUGAGAUCCUACCCACUUACUCAGCAGCGCCUGCUGUACUUUGCUCAUGAAGAACUUCUUUUCUCCAUUUCUCUGUUUUGUAAGGAGUAUAUAAGUAAGGUGUACUGCUGGGCUUGGACUAUGUCUUUCUGUUUCUAGCAGCUUGCCGAGUCGUUUUACUCAAUACUUGUGGACUGAAAUUUAAGUCGUUCAGUUUGUACAACAUGUCGUAAUUUCACCUUUUAUUUGUAGAUGUUGCUAUUGCCUUGCUUCUUGCGCAGUUUUCUUGAGGGCAAGGCGGGGCACCAGCCGUGCAGGCGACGGCAGCAGGAGCGGCGGAGCGCCACGAUACCUGGGCACAACCUUGGUCGGACCGUCCCGCGACACCCCACGCCGGAGCGCGGCGGCGGCGAGCGGUCCGAGAGCCCAAGGAGGCCUUUUUGCCAGGCGUCGUCGGGGGAGCCAGCGCGACCACGAGAGAGUGCCUGAACUACCACGCCGAGGUGGCAGCCCGCUCUCCACGCAGGUCACAGCCAGACGAGCCGGAGGCUCCUGGCGCACGAUCGGCCGGCCGGCGGCCACGUCGCGCGCAUCCGAGGAAGGGGCUACCAUGGGGAGGCGCUCCGGCACCAAGGACGCCGGCGGCGAGUCGCCCUCCGGGGCGCAGGAGCUGCAGGCGGAGUCCAUCUCCUUUCUAAUAUCCUUUGAAGCAUAAAGCAAUCGAAGUUUGAUGUUCCAUCACGUGUAUUUAUUAUAGCGUGCUCAAUCGAUCCCCAGGUGUCUGAUAAAUGUUCUCUCGUUGCUGUGUUGUACGUAUAG
rnacentral:lncRNA from 1 species